UGAUUACUUUUGCACCAACCUGAUAGAAUAUCCCAGUUGGGCAAUCUCGAAUGACGCAAGAUGAGCGUCAUCAUCAUCAUUGCUGCCAACCCAUCUGGUGAGGAGCUGGGAGAGAGCGUGGAAACACUGAGCCGGCGGCUCCAUCGUUACAACGCCGCAGGCAAACAAGGGGAAUUCUGGGAGAGAGCGUGGAAACACUGAGCCGACUGCUCCAUCGUUACAACGCCGCAGGCAAACAAGGGGAAUUCUGGGAGAGAGCGUGGAAACACUGAGCCGGCGGCUCCAUCGUUACAACGCCGCAGGCAAACAAGGGGAAUUCUGGGAGAGAGCGUGGAAACACUGAGCCGGCGGCUCCAUCGUUACAACGCCGCAGGCAAACAAGGGGAAUUCUGGGAGAGAGCGUGGAAACACUGAGCCGGCGGCUCCAUCGUUACAACGCCGCAGGCAAACAAGGGGAAUUCUGUGGCUCCAGUGUGAUACGUCCACAGGAACGCACAUGGGACCAAGAAGGGAAAGAAGAUACCACGUAUGUGCAGUCACUCAAUUCAGAGUGUGGAAAAUGCUACAGGCUAUCUCUGGAGGGUCUUGAAGAAAGAAGAAAUUCUGUAUUAUCCAAACAGAUGGUUAUGAGGAUCUACUUUCAACCUUCCACGUUAUGUGCUGUGAAUCAAGUCUUCACCCUACCAUUUAUCCAUUGUCUCCAAGAGCUUUUGAUAUAUAAGGAAAUAGGGAAGCCCUACAUAUGGAAAAGUGUAAGGAUUGUAGUGGUGAGAUGUGUGUUCCAGACUCUCUGGAUUCAAAUCCCAGCUCUGCUACUCAUAAGUAAGUGACUUAAUUGCAUUCACUUUCUCAUUGGUAACAUCGGGACAAUAAUAGGUCCUUACUGCCAGGGCUGCUAUGAGGAUUAUAAGCAACACGCAAAAGGCAUUUGGAACUAGACCCUGCUUGUGUCAAGAAGGCUAUAAAUACAAGGGAUUUGGGUGCAGGGAAGUUAGGAGAGAACAGGGAAGGCUCAUCAAGAGAGAACAGGGCAAGACUCACUGAUGUGUUAUUUUCAUUCUGCAAAAAAUUUUAACAAGUGAUUACACAGCAGGAGCUACAUUAAAGGCCCAGAAUUUUAAAAGAAUUAAAAAAAAUAGAUGAAGUCCUAAAAACUUCCUUGUGUAUUUGAAUAAAAUGAUAUAAACAGUUCAUUACAAGGUAAGGUACAAUGUAAUUAAUCCAGUAUCUUCAAAGCACUCUUGCAGCAAGGAGAAGGAAUCCACGUUCAAUCCACAUAAAAGUAAACGUAUGUUCCUACAGAGAAGUGAAUGUUUGAUCAUGUUCUGUAGUCCAAAUUCAGUAUCAGAACAUCCACAUUAAAAAAAGCUACAAAAUAGGCCUCAAGGGGUGGCCCCCCGGGCAGCGGUGGGUUUCUGCAGCAGGAAUAAGAUGAACAGGCUCCUGGCAAUGGAAGGGAACAUGGCCUGGCAGGGGUUUGUUCAGUCAGGUGAGGCUUCUAGGACAGCACAUGGGCAGGUGUGUGGAAGGCCCUGGGAAGGGCACAGGAGCCCCCAUGGCCCCACAUUUGGUGUCCUAGGUCCCAUCAACCCACAGACCACCUGAAGUGCCACAGUCUUUCAGUAAUUAAGCACAGUAUUCCCAGGCCUGUUUUCUGUAGGAUUUCAGCUCUGCCCUGCCUUGGUAUAAGCUCUGAUGUCAGUGUGAGUGGGGGGCAGUGCCAACCGUGGGGACGGAGCCUGAGACCUGGUAGAGCAUCCCCUGCCCAGGCCACUGAGAAGGUGCUGUUGGAUGAGAAGGAAAGUUGACGAGAAAACUAGCCCAUUUCAACUCCCAAGUGCAAAAUUAGAAAUAAACUCUCCUGAGACCAAAUACGGGGCAGCCCAUGGGGACAUUUGGAGGGCUCAGGGCUUCUACAGACAGAGGCCACCCUGGGGCCUCUGCUCGGGGCCUGUGCAGGCUGCUGAGCAGCACAGGCCACUCUAAGGGCUGCAUGGAGCUGAACGCAUCAAGUGUUCUGCAGGGCCUCGUCCGAGUGAUUUGCACUGUUCCCGGGCACUCCAGCUCAGAGCUAAGUCCCGCUUCAGAGUGCUUACCUGCAGCCAUUAAAUAAUUAUCAGUGUGCAAGCCUUUAGAGUUAGGCUGUCGUGCUUUUAUAUUCUAAACAUGCUUUCUGAGUUUUUUUUUGCAUCAAAGCAGUUGUAGGAAAUAUUAAUAUUUAUACCACCCAUGGGACACUGGGGUAUGGCUGCUUCUAGCAGGAGGUCAUCAGCCAGCCUCCCAGGAGGUUCAGCUCCCAGGCUCCGUCCAGCUGCCCAGUGGCUGAGGCUCAGCAUCUCCACUGCCUGUAACCUACUCACGGCACACUGCACCCACGGCACACAGCACCCGGGCGCCGCUCACGGCACACAGCACCCGGGCACCGCUCACGGCACACAGCACCCGGGCACCGCUCACGGCACACAGCACCUGGGCACGGCGGCUGGGAGGCUCUGACCUCUGCAGCAGACACAGAGCUCCACUUCUUAUUCUCUGUUAAUUGAUGCUGCCCUGUUUCAUUUUAAGCAUUGUUACCAGGUUCUUAAGACUAUAAAAAAUAAAAAUUAAAUAGCCCCAAACUAAACCUCACUUUAUCAACAUAAAAAGAGAUGUGUGUGUCCGGAGGAAACGGGAUCUUUUCUCUCCACCUUUCCCAUUUUUGAGUCCUCAGUGAUGUGAAAAAAAGCCGGUGUCUGUUUAGAAUACGAUAACUAGAAGCUCCGGAGUGGAGCCAGGGGUUAAUGAAAUUCCGGGAAGCCAAGGAGCCCGUGCUCAGAACGGGCAAGUGCCAUUUCUGUCUUGUUGAUAUUAGAGAAAUGGGUCGUGGGUGAACAAUGGAUCGCAAUACCCAUAAAGAAGAAUCCACGGGAGCUGCCGCGACUCUGCGGUGAGCGCUUUGCCUGUGGGACUCUUGAGGCUGGUCAGCUUUUCAGAUGCACGAGGCCUGGUGGUCCAGACAGGAAUGAUGAUGACAUCACUUUCUUCUCACCGUGUUGUCAUGCGACAGGUCACAGCGGCCACUGUUGCCCCAACUACGGGCUGUUUACAUUUCGGGGCAAUUCAGUAAGCUAAAUACUGUUAAGGUUCAAGUCCUUGUCCCUCUGAGAAUCCCAAACCUCUCCGGAACCUUCAACAAUUAAGAUUCCUACCACAGUCUGCUGCAAAGGUCAUAUUUCAUUUCUAAUAUCUUAGAAAUAACACUUUUCCCAGGGCGGGUCAAUUUAUGAUUUUAGGAGUUCUACUCCACUUUAUUAAAGAAGAGGUGGUUACUUUUUAAAGCUUGAGAUCUUUUUUUUUCUUGGAGUACAAAUUUAGGAGCUUAUUUUUCUUUAUUUGUGAAAAUUUUUUUGACUGUACAAUGCAAAUAAAACUUGGUAAAAAGUGAAAUAUAAAUCCAAGUAAAUGAGAGUUUUAGGCGUCUUAAUUACUCAUUCUGUGAGUAGUUUGACUCAUUAAAUUUAUGGGACACCCAGCAGAGGCCAGGCCAAUGACAGGUAAUAAGAUGAUGGGGAGAAUAAAAUGGGUUAGGGUUAUGGUUAGCGUUAUGGUUAGGAGAGCUCACAGAUUCAUCAGGAGUGCACAGCCCAAAAAAUUAGAUUGUUUUUCAGUAAAUUGUCUGGUUAGAGUACUACUGCGAUACAUUAGUCAAGAUUGUUACCAUCAUACAGACUUAACCUUUUCUUUCGUUUUCUAAAAUGUAUGUCCAUGUGUGAAGCUCUGGGUGAAGCAUAACGGAGGAAGGUGCAGGAGGGUGGAGCAUGGACUCCAUGAAGAGGAUCAGGGAGGGCGGGUCGGGGACUCCAUGAAGAGGAUCAGGGAGGGAGGGAGGGGGGCACCUGCACAUGUGCACUCACGCGUGGGGCAGAGACCAGCACGUGGACAACCACGAGGCAUUCCCAGAAGCAAAGAGGACAUGAAGCUCUCAUUUUCAACUCUGUAGUUAAUGUAUCUUCAAACUAAAACAAGAAAAAAUAUGCAUUUUGCAACUUUAAUUCAUAAGGCUAGAGAUUAAGGUCCCAAAACAUCCUAUCACAGUCAGAAUGACUCUUGGGAUAGGUAACUAUGACUCAGAUGUUUACUUUUGUCUAAACAUAUGCAAAAGGAAGUCAGGUUCCACAGAGUAGAAAGCACUUCCAACCUGACAGUGUCCAGGUGUGGAGAAAGCGCCCGUGGACAUAUUCUAAGAGCUCCUUAGGCAUGACCUUCAGUGCUCUCCCCUUCCCUCCAAUCACAGACAUAUGCCUUUGAGGAAUUCCAGGUCCUCCUGUCUUGAGCAUGAAACGACCAUUGAUGGCCCUUCCCUGCCACCAGCCCAUGGCAGGCACUGGCCACAGCGCUGGGAGAACUUCUCGUGUCCCCCCAAUGCCUGAGCCUUAUUGGAUCCAAAGCUGUUGUUUUUCAGUCCCUUUGAUUUAACCACCUGGGAACAGGGCUCUUGUCUCUGCCUCCUUCAGUUAUGGAGACUGUUUAUAGUGCCUGAAGGCUUUCCUCUCUGAACCUGACUUCCAGAAUGAGAGAGGACAACAAGACACUGAGGAGGCAGAAACCUGUCCAGGUCAUCCAAGAAGCCCAAAUCCCUUGUAAAUGCAUUCCUCGCAGCAAUGUCCCCAAGAAGGCCAGCAUGAACAAGACAGGACACAAAUGAAAUCACAGCGUGCAGCCUGCUCCCGGCGACAGGAGCCAUGCAUG